UACGUAGGGGGCAAGCGUUGUCCGGAUUUAUUGGGCGUAAAGAGCUCGUAGGCGGCUUGUCGCGGUCGUCCGUGAAAACCUGCGGCUCAACUGCAGGCUGGCGGUCGAUACGGGCAGGCUGGAGUUCGGUAGGGGAGACUGGAAUUCCUGGUGUAGCGGUGAAAUGCGCAGAUAUCUGGAGGAACACCGGUGGCGAAGGCGGCAUCCUGGACCGGCAU
rnacentral:rRNA from 1 species